AGGACGAACGCUUGCGGCGUGCCUAAGAAAUGCAAGUCGAGCGAGGGGCUUCGGCCCCUAGCGGCGAACGGUCGCGUAACACGUAGGCAACCUGCCCCAAAGUGGGGGAUAACAGCCCGAAAGGGCUGCUAAUACCGCAUGUGGCCGGUGGAAGGCAUCUUCUACCGUCUAAAGCAUUUAUGCGCUUUGGGAUGGGCUUGCGGCCUAUCAGCUAGUUGGUGAGGUAAUGGCUCACCAAGGCGACGACGGGUAGCUGGUCUGAGAGGACGAUCAGCCGGAUUGGGACUGAGAUACGGCCCAGACUCCUACGGGGGGCAGGCAAUUAGGAAUCUUGCGCAAUGGGGGAAACCCUGACGGCAGCGACGCCGCGUGCGGGAUGAAGGCAUUCGUGUCGUAAACGCUUUUGUUGGGAAGAGAACGGACGGUACCCAACGAAUAAGCCCCGGACUAACUACGUGCCAGCAGCCGC
rnacentral:rRNA from 1 species